rnacentral:tRNA from 1 species
GCCAGUUGCUGCAGGCGAUCGAACACCUCCAUGGUAAGGAGGGGGUCGACGGUUCGAGUCCGUCAGAGGGCU